rnacentral:piRNA from 1 species
ACAGCUCGUCAGGCCCAUCUGUACC